AUCCUGCCUCAGACUGAGCCCAGAGUUAACCAGAACGGCUGUUUCCACCAUCUUAGAUUGUAUUGAUUAUUCUUUGCUUUAACGUCUGUCUCCCUCACACACACGCUACCUCUCUUUCUCUCCCUUUCUGUCCCUCCCUCCCCUCUUUCUGCCUCUAUUCUGCCACCUUCUCCACUCGCCGAUCAGCAUUUGGCUUUUCCAUUUGUGGCAGAUUACUGUAACGCUAUUGUACAACAACUUCCUGCCUCUUUUGGCUCUGGUUCUUUUAAAAACUGCAAAGGCAGAGCAUCGUGACUUCAACUUUUUCCUUCCUCGGCCUUGAACUGAAGGAGCUCUAUAAGGAAAGAAAAGGAGGAAGGGGAUAUGUAAAGUGUGUUUUCAGUAACUGAGGAACUAUUUGAAUGCAUUUCUGCUUUAUAAAGCUUUAAGAGGGGACUACAUGCCUAGCAGAGACAAUGAGAGAAAAAAAGGAUUCUCAAAGAGGACGAGGAGGAAAAGAGCAGAGGAGAGUUUCUCCUGGGAUCAGACUGGAAAUUAUGGACCUAUUCGAUAUCAGAGCUCAGAGUGGACAACCUAUCCAAAGAGGGACGCGCCCUAACUGUAACUAACAACUACUUCUGGCAGCCCUUCAACAGCCAAACAUAUUGUACUGGAGCAGUGCAGCUUUCAUAUGGCUGCAUCGAACCAAAGCAGCUCCGGCACCAAAUUCACAUCAAACUACAGGAGGAAUAAUAUCAUGUUAAUAAUUAUGUACUUUAAGUAUAUUAAUGUGUUUUUUAAUGUGAAGCGGAUGGAGCUGGAACUUUGAUCCUUACUAUGUUCACAGGAAACUUUACACACAUCAAAGUGAUGCAGAUAGAAAGAAAACUAUGAUUUUCACAACUUGGGAUGAUCCUAAGAGUCACUGCAGCUAUUUCUUUAUUUAUAUAAUAUUAUAUUAUGUUACAUAAAUAAUAAAACAGACUUUUUUCUGUUCCGUAUUACUGUAAAAGCAAACUUAGACCCUGAUAUAAAGAGUUCUCCUCACUGUGUGCUUGUUUUUCAUGACAAAAAGGUAUACGCAGAAAUAUGAGUAUGAAAUGUUGCAUGCUGCUGUAAUUAAAAUGUACAAUAAUUUUGUGUAUAUGUUAAUUAUAGGGCUACUUUAAGAGUUAUUUAUUUUUAUAUAAUUUUAGACUUCACAAGAGGAAUUUCAAUGAAUAAAAAACGUAUAUGAUUUGAGAGGUAGAGAUAGUGUGUACUAACUGUUACGACUGAAGUUCACUGUAAAAAUACUCAUCUGACGCAUUAUGUCAAAAAAGUACACGAGCAAAUUCUCAAAAGUCAAUGAUGCAUCAUAAUGAAAAAAGUAAAUACUGCUCCUCUGUCCACCUGACCGGCCUGCACCACGCCUCACAUACCCAAACUCUCUCUCUUUGCAGUUUUACCCCGAGCCUUUCUUCUUCUUCUUCUUCUUCUUCUUCUUCUUCAUUUUGUUUUAGUCUUCCUCCGCACUAAGCCAGGAGUGCGCAGGCCUGGCAUUUCAGGGGCCACGUCACAUCGCCUGUGUCUGCGCUGCAGGGCUGCAAGGUGUCCAACAGCCGAGCAACACACACCCUACUUCUGCUGCUUCGACAAACACUGUGUGUGUGUGUGUGUGUGUGUGUGUGUGUGUGUGUGUGUGUGUGUGUGUGUGUUUGUGUGUGUGCUGUUUGUUUUAAUCUCACAUUCUCUUUAGCCUCCUAGCUCUGUUGAGACAGACAGGACAUGCAGCUAAUAUUCAUUUCAUGAACAUACUCUCCUUUCUGAUGGUGCGUUUCACCAACAUGCAGCGUUUUAACCUCCAGCCUGAGAUCACCUCACUCUUCACACUUUUCCUCUCCUCUGAAUCACACAGUGGAGUUAGCUCAGUCAAAAAGCACAUCGACGCUCAUCUGGAAAUAAAGAUUUGGACCCUUUACACUGUAAAAUAUGUAAUCUGCAUUUACAAUUAACAAAGAUGAAACCCAUUUUUAUUUUUCUUACACUCACAAACUGUAGUGAUGUGCACAAUUCUUCCAACAGAAGAAUAUCUAUGCCGGAGAAAAGCCACAUUUCAUUGGACAGCUGCUUGAUCAUAAACUUUAUUACUCUGUGGGAUGUUCCUGCGUAUUCGGUGCCUUUUGAAAUCCCAACCGAAAUGUAUUUUUAAAAGACAUGCCUAAAAUUUCAGAGAUAAAAAAUGUAGUAGCAUCAAAGCACAUGGCACAGUUUGUGUCAUUAUACUAUAUUUAAUAAUGUUUUCUCAGUACAUGCUCAUUCACAUUUUUAGAUAAUGUAGGAAUUCAAAGAAAUGAUCAUCAGAGGACUGGAACAACGUACAAGUCCUUUGUUCAGUGAACAGCAUUACAUCCUGCUUUUUUAACCAAAUAACUGGCUGCACUCCUUUCAGUAGUCCAAUCACUUCCUGUACGGUGACAUGUUGAAUUCCUCUGUGUUGUGUUUGCACGAAUCGGAUGAUGCAGAGUCGUGAGUGGAUAGCCACGUUGUACAAAAGAGGUCAUUCUGCAGAAAACGGUUGAUUUCGGAUGUGUGUGUUUAUGGAUGUUUCUGUGUGUGCAGAAGUUUUACAGUGCAGUCUUUUGUCCCUGAAGAAUAAUCGAGAUGUGACGCAAAAAAAUCAUUUAAAUUCUCUUCUGUUUUACAAAUGCUAAUGUGCAAUAAGAUGUCUUUUAUAAUAUUAAGACAUUUAAGCUGCAUUUAAUGUGCAGCAUAUGAUAAAAAUGAUGUUUAUUAUUAUCAAUACUGCUGUCAUAAGAUGCCUCGUUCAUUAUUACUAUCACAGCUACACACAAAUAAAGGUGGAGCAUACAGAUCCCUGGUGCUAAAAUUAAA